rnacentral:rRNA from 1 species
AUUGAACGCUGGCGGAAUGCUUUACACAUGCAAGUCGAACGGCAGCACGGGAGCUUGCUCCUGGUGGCGAGUGGCGGACGGGUGAGGAAUACAUCGGAAUCUACCUUUUCGUGGGGGAUAACGUAGGGAAACUUACGCUAAUACCGCAUACGACCUACGGGUGAAAGUGGGGACCGCAAGGCCUCACGCGAUUAGAUGAG